UGGAGAGAAAGGCAGUUCCUGAUGGUGCCUCCCCAGGGGCUGGCUUUCCUCUGGU
rnacentral:pre_miRNA from 1 species